rnacentral:rRNA from 1 species
AUUGAAAGCUGGCGGCAGGACUAAAACAUGCAAGUAGAGCGAGCGGCGGACGGGUGAGGAAGAUAUUGGGAGUGCCCGAGAUAGGGGGAUAAAUACUGGAAACGGUAGCUAAUACAGCAUAAUAUACGAUAACCCAUAGGGGAUUAGCUAGUAGGUGAGGUAAUGGCUCACCUAGGCGACGAUCCCUAGCUGGUCUGAGAGGAUGAUCAGCCACGCUGGGACUGAGACACGGCCCAGACUCCUACGGAGGCAGCAGUGGGGAAUAUUGCACUAUGGGCGCAAGCCUGAUGCAGCCAUGCCGCGUGUAUGAAGAAGGCCCUAGGGUUGUAAAGUACUUUCAGUCGGGAGGCGUUACCGACAGAAGAAGCACCGGCUAACUCCGUGCCAGCCGCCGCGGUAAUUC